CAGCCGCGUUCUCUGGGAUUCAGCCUUGCUUUUGCUUGGUGCAUUUCCUAGUCUACGGGCCAGCAUGGAUUUCGACCGUCGGAAAAGGGCUGGGGGAAUGUGGCACUUUCGGGUGUGUGUUAUAGACUCGAGUCGAAUGCGAUGGUUGGGACUGAGGAACUCAGCACGACCUUAGGGUUCGGACUUCGGUCCACGUUUGCGUGCUUAGGAUGCUGGCAUAAUGGCCUUAAGCGACCCGUCUUAGAAACACGGACCAAGGAGU
rnacentral:rRNA from 1 species